UAUCAUGCCGAAACAUGACAAUGUCCUUUUUAAAUAAAAGGAGACUGCGUGUGGCCUAU
rnacentral:sRNA from 1 species